rnacentral:rRNA from 1 species
CAAAAGCGUAUAUUAAAGUUGUUGCAGUUAAAAAGCUCGUAGUUGAACCUUGGGCUUGGCUGGCCGGUCCAUCUUUUUUGAUGCGUACUGGACCCAGCCGAGCCUUUCCUUCUGGCUAGCCUUUUGGCGAACCAGGACUUUUACUUUGAAAAAAUUAGAGUGUUCAAAGCAGGCCUUUGCUCGAAUAUAUUAGCAUGGAAUAAUAGAAUAGGACGUUAUGGCUCUAUUUUGUUGGUUUCUAGGACCAUCGUAAUGAUUAAUAGGGACGGUCGGGGGUAUCAGUAUUCAGUUGUCAGAGGUGAAAUUCUUGGAUUUACUGAAGACUAACUACUGCGAAAGCAUUUACCAAGGACGUUUUCAUUAA